AGAGUUUGAUCAUGGCUCAGAUUGAACGCUGGCGGCAUGCCUUACACAUGCAAGUCGAACGGUAACAGGUCUUCGGAUGCUGACGAGUGGCGAACGGGUGAGUAAUACAUCGGAACGUGCCCGAUCGUGGGGGAUGACGAGGCGAAAGCUUUGCUAAUACCGCAUACGAUCUACGGAUGAAAGCGGGGGAUCUUCGGACCUCGCGCGGACGGAGCGGCCGAUGGCAGAUUAGGUAGUUGGUGGGAUAAAAGCUUACCAAGCCGACGAUCUGUAGCUGGUCUGAGAGGAUGAUCAGCCACACUGGGACUGAGACACGGCCCAGACUCCUACGGGAGGCAGCAGUGGGGAAUUUUGGACAAUGGGCGAAAGCCUGAUCCAGCCAUGCCGCGUGCAGGAUGAAGGCCUUCGGGUUGUAAACUGCUUUUGUACGGAACGAAAAGCCUCUUUCUAAUAAAGAGGGGUCAUGACGGUACCGUAAGAAUAAGCACCGGCUAACUACGUGCCAGCAGCCGCGGUAAUACGUAGGGUGCAAGCGUUAAUCGGAAUUACUGGGCGUAAAGCGUGCGCAGGCGGUUUUGUAAGACAGAGGUGAAAUCCCCGGGCUCAACCUGGGAACUGCCUUUGUGACUGCAAGGCUGGAGUGCGGCAGAGGGGGAUGGAAUUCCGCGUGUAGCAGUGAAAUGCGUAGAUAUGCGGAGGAACACCGAUGGCGAAGGCAAUCCCCUGGGCCUGCACUGACGCUCAUGCACGAAAGCGUGGGGAGCAAACAGGAUUAGAUACCCCGGUA
rnacentral:rRNA from 1 species